rnacentral:rRNA from 2 species
CUUGCUUCUUCUUGAGAGCGGCGGACGGGUGAGUAAUGCCUAGGAAUCUGCCUGGUAGUGGGGGACAACGUUUCGAAAGGAACGCUAAUACCGCAUACGUCCUACGGGAGAAAGUGGGGGAUCUUCGGACCUCACGCUAUCAGAUGAGCCUAGGUCGGAUUAGCUUGUAGGUGAGGUAAUGGCUCACCUAGGCAACGAUCCGUAACUGGUCUGAGAGGAUGAUCAGUCACACUGGAACUGAGACACGGUCCAGACUCCUACGGGAGGCAGCAGUGGGGAAUAUUGGACAAUGGGCGAAAGCCUGAUCCAGCCAUGCCGCGUGUGUGAAGAAGGUCUUCGGAUUGUAAAGCACUUUAAGUUGGGAGGAAGGGUUGUAGCUUAAUACGCUGCAACUUUGACGUUACCAACAGAAUAAGCACCGGCUAACUCUGUGCCAGCAGCCGCGGUAAUACAGAGGGUGCAAGCGUUAAUCGGAAUUACUGGGCGUAAAGCGCGCGUAGGCGGCUUGAUAAGAUGGGUGUGAAAUCCCCGGGCUUAACCUGGGAACUGCAUCCAUAACUGUCUGGCUAGAGUGCAGUAGAGGGGUGGUGGAAUUUCCUGUGUAGCGGUGAAAUGCGUAGAUAUAGGAAGGAACACCAGUG